rnacentral:sRNA from 1 species
AUAAACUAAUUCAGAAUACAUUUGUGUAUUUAAUUCCAUUGGGUCGAUGAGAUUUAAAGUCUAAUGUAUAGCAUAACAUCUAAAGCCGCGAAGUAGAAGUCUGGGAGGUGUCUUCAACGGCCUGGAUCACGCGACGCAGAAAAACCUUCCGAUUCUGAGCGUACACAUGUCCAUCCCACCCUCUCUUGACCAAACUAGCGGCUAAGUUGAGCGCAGCCUCAACGGUCUCAUCGGCGCUAGAGUGAGCGGAGUCGAUGACACCGAGCCGAAGCGCAUCCUCGGCUUUGAGCUUAGCCGCAGUCAUGACGACGUGGCGCCGAGCCGCGGGCGUGGCGACCUUGGCUUCGAGGAGAACGUGGAACCAGACGGGAAGGACGAGGCUGAUGUCGAGCUCGCUCAUGUAGAGGAAUCCCCUGUCGCUGCGCAUGAGGAGGUAGUCGUGGGCGAGGGCGAGGGUGAAGCCGGCGGCGGAGGCAUGGCCGGUGACGGCGGCGAUGGUCGGCAUGGGUAGUGUGAGGAGAUCGUUGACGACGGAGCGGAGGAGGGAGUCCAUUAGGAUCAUGCGCUCUCGAGAGGACUGGGCCCACGCGAUGUCGUAGCCGUUAGAGAAGAAUUUGCCGUGCGCGGUGGUGAUGAGGGCGGAGGAACCGGUGGCUUCUUGGCGGACGCGGCGGAGGGAGGAUAGGAUGGACUCGAGGAGAGUCGGGUUGAGACGGUGCUCGCCCUCACCGGUGAGGGUUAGGAUGAAAAUGUUGCCUCUCUUCUCCAAAGUGCACAUCUUUGUUUGGAUUGGAAUGGGAUGAAUGAAGAAUGAUGUUUCUCUCUAGUUAUUCCAAUUACCGGUAGUUUUGGAAAAUUCGACAUUAAAUACUCAUAUACAAAGAAAGAGUCGUGGAAGAAGCAGAAUUUCCGAGAGAAAAGUCACAUAAAAGUAAAACGUUUAAAGGUUUGAGAUUUGUUGCAGAAAGAAGAAACCCAGUUGAAAAAAGCGAGGUACCGGCGCGGGUAAUGCGGAGACCAAACUCGAGGAUGAUUCUGCAAAGAUCACAGCCGAGACCAGCCUUGUCGGGGCAAUUGACGGUGACGAUGCAGGGCUCACUGAGGUCCUUCCCUUGCUGGAUCACAACGACGUCGUCCCAUGGUAUCCCCAUGACUGUGAAGUGGUGGGUUUAGGUGACGACGGCCACCGUGAAAAGCAUUGCCGGAGCCCAAAAUGGUGGCUGAGGAACUAACGGAACUGUGAAUGAAACCAGUGGAUUGUGGAAGACUGAAUUGCACUAAGAUAACGUGAGUAUAUAUGUGCUUCUAAGGAUGCAGUGAAUCUUAUUUUUUGCAAUUUUCAGAAUUAUU